rnacentral:rRNA from 1 species
UACAGAGGUCCCGAGCGUUGUUCGGAUUCACUGGGCGUAAAGGGUGUGUAGGAGGCUUGGUAAGUCAGGUGUGAAAUCCCGCAGCUCAACUGCGGAACUGCAUUCGAUACUGCCGAGCUAGAGGAUCGGAGGGGGAAGCGGAAUUCUUGGUGUAGCGGUGAAAUGCGUAGAUAUCAAGAGGAACACCGGUGGCGAAGGCGGCUUCCUGGAAGAUACCUGACUCUGAAACACGAAAGCUAGGGGAGCGAAUGGG